rnacentral:rRNA from 1 species
AUUGAACGCUGGCGGCAUGCUUUACACAUGCAAGUCGAACGGUAACAGGCCGCAAGGUGCUGACGAGUGGCGAACGGGUGAGUAAUGCAUCGGAACGUGCCCAGUCGUGGGGGAUAACGCAGCGAAAGCUGCGCUAAUACCGCAUACGAUCUAUGGAUGAAAGCGGGGGACCGUAAGGCCUCGCGCGAUUGGAGCGGCCGAUGUCAGAGUAGGUAGUUGGUGAGGUAAAGGCUCACCAAGCCAACGAUCUGUAGCUGGUCUGAGAGGACGACCAGCCACACUGGGACUGAGACACGGCCCAGACUCCUACGGGAGGCAGCAGUGGGGAAUUUUGGACAAUGGGCGCAAGCCUGAUCCAGCAAUGCCGCAUGCAGGAAGAAGGCCUUCGGGUUGUAAACUGCUUUUGUACGGAACGAAACGGUCCGGGCUAAUACCCUGGGCUAAUGACGGUACCGUAAGAAUAAGCACCGGCUAACUACGUGCCAGCCGCCGCGGUAA